AACAUUUUUCCCGUGAAGGGUCAAUACAGGAGACUGCGCUGGCUAUUGUUUAGAACUCAACACAGAAGAUUGUUAAACCAAACUUCUAUAGAGAAAAAAAUGAAGCAAUAGGAAACACACAAGACAUGCACACAGAAACCUAAACCAGAAAAGGCAGAUAGUUCACUACGAGGUUAGUCACCCGGAUCAACCAAGGGACCAGUCUAACGAGUGCUGAUGCAGAAAAGGUCCUAGAAAGUGUGUGUGGAGGCAGCCGCAGCAGAGAUGGCUCUGCAGAAUGCACCACCAUCGUACCCUCCGAGUUGCUUCUUGCUAGCACUUUAUCUCUGGAAAAAGAGAGGCAUCUUAAUCACCCAGUCCAGAAGAUGGCAAACUUGACAGCACUAUUUUUGCUUGGGAUUAGUAGAACUUUUUUCUUGCCUAAUCCACCUUCUUGAUGAUUGAACUUCUUUUGCUCAAUUAGAUUCUUGUAUCUAUGGACAAGCUGGGCUUUGUGCAGUGGCCCAUUACUCUCUCAAAUGGCUGUGGCCAAGAAGCUGAGCUUGUCCUUUCCUUCCUUCUCCAUGG
rnacentral:lncRNA from 1 species